GGGAAUGGGUCUAGAGCCCAGGAUGGAGUUGUCCACAUGCCACCUGAUCCCUUGGGGAACACAAGAUGAAAGCUGGACCCCUGGACUGGCCCUAACCUGCACAUUGGGCUCUGGCCCUUCUCAGUGAGUCUCCACAUCACAGUGUUGACCUCAGCAGAUAGUGACUGACUAUGAAGACCCCACUUGCUUGUGGGCUGCCACUCUCACUGUUGCCAGCUCGGCGACGAGGCCUAUGGGACCUGCUCCACACUGAGUGUCUUUUUACUCUAUGGUCAUGGUGGGUUGAUCUUGUCUCUCUGUGCCUUUACUUCUCUGAGCCAAGAAGCCUCUGUAACGGCUUUGCAGACAUGUCACUCAGUCUCUGGGCUUGUUUCCCAAAUGACCGAAGGACUGCCAACCCAGUGGCCUUCCACCAGGAGCCACGUUGCACCUCCCGGCAACACUGGAAACUUGUGUAAAAGCAAUUAGUGGGCAUCUCACAGUGCGUAGGAUGGACCAGCUACUUACUUUACUCAGAAUGCUCAUUGCAACAGUUUUAAGAAAUAGAAGGGCCAAUCCCUUCUCCCUGUCAUUCUGGGAAGAGAUCCCCUUAGGUUUCCUGGGAUCUUGGCUCCCAGAACAAGCCAAAAUAAAGACCUGACUGUUGCUGUGAGGGAGCCUGUCAGGCCAGAGCCAAGAUGGCUUGUGUGUUGCAGGGCCAGGACCAAAAGCGCCUUGCAUGCUAUGAGAAAAAGGGGCCUCUGUCUUUCUCAUGUUGACACUGAUUACUGUGCCAAAUCCUUUGUGGAAGUGUUUGCUGGGAGCUGCCUUUAGCACCAAGGAGAGGGAAAGCCAGGGUAUUGGGGUGCUUAGUCCCCCGACUUGUACUAGAUCUCAGGUCCUAGCCCAAGUAUCCCGGAGGUUCUGGAAUCUUCCCUUACAGUCUAUGAGUCACGUAGGGUGGGUAAAUAUCUUCCACAGAGCCUGCCAGGGUAUCUACUCAUGCAGAGGCAGCUGGGGACUACCUCUCUUGUCCCUGACUGCCCCUAGAGAAAUCAGUCUUUGGAAGGACAAAGGCCCUUACUGGCUUUCCCUGAUGUGUGGAAAGUGCUGUCAGGGGGAAGUGGAUAAAUCCAUGCACCCAUCUGUAAGACACUGCAGAUCCCCAGUUGUGCCGUACUGUGCACAGCUUCCUGUGAGGAGCUACAUACCUUUGAGUCAUGGUUUCAACUCUUUCUGUGGUGAUACAAAGGGAGAGGACCCUCCCUGCUCUGUGCCUCAAUUUCUUCUUGGUGAUCUAGAGCCUAACCCUGCCCCCUUCUCAGUCUCAAGAAUAAAAACUGUGAAGUAGAGACAGUGUCUUCCCUGAAUGAGGUGGGAGCAGACGCCAUUUUAAUAACGCAAGGUGAUACCGUAGGAAAUGGUCCCAACUAGCAUCUUUUUAUUCAAGAAUGUAGUUCAGCUAGUAGAGGGCUAGCCUAGCAUACUAGUUUGAUCCCCAUCACUGUAUAAACCGAAUGUAGUGCACAGACCUAUAACCCCAGUACUUUGGAAGUAGAGAUAGGAGGAUCAGAAGUUCAAAUCCACCCUCAAUGACAAUGUGAAUUGGAGGCCAGCCUGGGCUACAUGAGACUCUGUCUCAGAAAAGAAGAAAGAAACAAAAAGAACUUUGAAUUUUCAGUUUGAUUUGGUUUUUAAAUGGGAAAAGUAGUAUAUUUGAAGCUGCUAUGUUUUUUUGUUACGCUAUUGACCUAUGCAGUCCUCUAUAAUCACAAAAGUUUUAAUCCUUGUUACUUCUGUAUUUGUUACCCAUGUUGAAACUUAGGAACCUUCAUAUUUAAAUCAACGUCGUUUCCUUGGUUAGGGAGGAUUCAUUUCCCAUUCUGGUCUGUGGUGAUUCCUCCCCAGCCCUCUCUUGGAGUCCCAUCCCCACUGUACAUUACAGGGCCAUUUGGGUUUGUAGUCUGGUCUAAAGUGUGACUUAGGCACCGAUCACAUCGGUUGUUGGGGUUUUAAUUGCCUACUGCAGGCCUUGUCGCUGGUGGAAAAGGUCUUUGUACUGAGUCUGGUUUCUGCUUCCCAUCUGGUAAAACAGGUGCAGCAAACGGCUUCCUGUGGCUGCCGGUCUUAGUACUGUUUCUCAGCAGAUAGAAAGACCUGAGUUUCACCCAGGAUGGUCAUGUGGGCCCUGCCAGGGGACUUUAGAAAGACGUGAAGGUUGGAGUGGUCUGAGGAAAGGCUGGAGACCUGGAGGACACCAGGGGUCCCUGGGAGCCCAGUGUGAGGAACAGCCCAGGCAGCCCCACUCUGGGUCCUGGGGUUCUAACCUGUAAUGUGAUGAUGGUGCCCCUGCUUUUGACUCGAAUGCUGGUUCUUUACAUCUAAUAAACCAGACAGUGCCUCACCAUAUCUAAUAG
rnacentral:lncRNA from 1 species